CCAUGUUGGCCAGGAUGGUCCUGAUCUCUUGAGCUCGUGAUCCACCCGCCUCGGCCUCCCAAAGUGCUGGGAUUACAGGCGUGAGCCACCACGACCGGCCGACAUUAUUUAAUAUUGUUACAUCCAGUUGCAAAGCACAUGAACAUCUGGAUCUCUCAAGACCCACAACCCUUUUAUUCAUUGGUUAAAUCCAUGCAAGAUGAAGUAAAGGAAUGGGUGGAUGUGUGUCUGGUGAAUUCAGACAAUGUGGAAAGCUCUUUUUUUGGUGGGGAGGAAGAUGAGUCCCAGAUAACCUAAGUUACUGUCAAUCUAAUUUGAAUAAAUCAGAAAGUAGUCUGACUUAUUCAAAUUAUAGCUUCUGCUUCACUUUGAGCUUUGUUGUUGUUGUUAUUGUUGAGACAGGGUCUCACUCUGUUGCCCAGGCUGGAGUGCAGUGGUGCGAUCAUGGGUCACUGCAGCCUCAACUGAUCCUCCUGCUUCAGUCUCCCAAGUAGCUAGGACUACAGGUGCACACCACCAUGCCUGGCUAAGUUUUAAAAUUUUUGGUAGAGACAGUGUCUCACUGUGUUGCCCAGGCUAGUCUUGAACUCUUGGCCUCAAGCUAUCCUCCCGCCUUGUCCUCCCAAAUUGUUGGGAUUACAGGCAUGAGCCACUGUGACCUGGCCCACUUUGAGGUUUAUAGCUCUUUGUCCAGCAUAUCCAGAUUGAAUGACUAAACUAAUAACUAAUCCCAGUGUGUUGUGGUGGAGCCACAUAUGUUGCUAUGGAGACUCAGUGACGAUUUUCUUGCAUAUAGACUUCCAUAUCAGCAUGGAAUAGUCAUCUUUAAGCUUGGCAACAGUAUUUUCAGACUUACUUUUUAAUUUGGCUGAUGGCCAUGCUCUCCUCCAUCCACCCCCAUUUUCAUUUUCUACAUUUCAUAGGAUUGAUAGGUUAAUAUCUUUUUGUUGUUGUUGUUGUUGUUUUUUGUUUUUUUUGAAACAGAGUCUUGCUCUGUCACCCAGGCUGGAAUGCAGUGGUGUGAUCAUAGCUCACUGCAGCCUCAACCUCCUGGUCUCAAGCGAUCCUCCCACCUCAGCCUCCCAAGUAGCUGGGACUACAGAAUUUCAGGAUCCUGGGACCUGAGAUUGAACCGGCAGCUGAUCAAUUCUGUGGAAUUUAGAGUUCUUGUUCUCGGCACUGAACCAGAAUUUUCUUUGGCAAAAGAGGGAAAGCAUACAAUUAUGGUCAGAAACAUAAUAAUAAAUCUACUGUAACAACCUUCUUUCCACCACAUAUCUUUGCUGGUAUUUAUCUGAAUAUCCAGCUUAUAAAAACAAGAAGAGAUUGUCAUUUCAACAGCACCAGCAACUCUUCCUGUGAUUUACAGAGGCAAUAAAGAACUAGAGGGGGCACAUUUAUCAUGGAGUUCUGCACACCAGGAGCCAUUUUCUCCAGCGGUAAAGGCAAGUGAUAAAACGAAUUCUUUUGUUCUAUAACCAAGACACAUUCCCUGUUCUCUAAACUUGGGCACACCAGGCUGCUCUAGUGGCAGCCUGGCACUGCCCCAUCCACACUGAAUGAUAAAUUGUUAGCACAAAAACAUUGAUAGAACACCUAGAACACCUGGCUGUGAACAGUGCGAUGUGCUUACCGUCAACACACAAUAGUUAGCUGCCAACAUGUUGGUACUAUGAAUUUCCAGUCUACUUUGAAUAACACAUUGUGUAUGGGCUUUUUUUUCAUAUUGGAGGAGAAGGGAAGGGAAUGUUAAAUAGUGUGAAGGGUUUUGUUUUGUUUAGUAAAGAUCAUAACAUUUAAAUUUUGAAUCCCGAUUUUCUUGUGGUAGCAAAGAAUGCCUCAUCUGAAUUUUGAUGUGGAAAAGCAAAACCAGUUCUGGUAUACAUUUUUUCAAUUCACUUUGUAUUUGAUUUUGAGUUUGUGUUAUGUGUUUUAGGCAGGCAGGUGUGAUGCACAGAGGUGCUUUUAAGCUGUCUCUGAGCUUUGAUUACACAUUUGUGAGUUUUUGAAAUGAAUUAGGCAGGCUUUGAGCUAAGCUGGACAUAAAAGCUACAACAGUUUUGCUGUUUGGGAGACUUAAAAAAUGGAGCAUUUUUAAAUAUUCUAUAAUUGAGUACAUACAUCACCCAGUCGUAUUUAUUAAGUACUCACCUGUGCAUGACAACGUGUCAGGCACAAAGAUUACUGUAAAAAAUGCCAAUUAUUUGGAACCAGAGACAAUGGUAGUGUUUACACUUAGGAGAAAAUGAACACAAAUGUUAAAUUGUGAAUGUUAUUCCUAAUGGGGCAAAUUAUGGAGUUAAUUUAGUCUCUGAAAGAGGCAAGCGUGGUCAAGUAAAAUCUCUUGACAUGUCCCACUUAUACAAUAAUUAACUCUGCUCGUUGUUGGUGUCUUAAUGAAAAAUAAUAUGUUCCAAAGAGAGAAGUAAGGCAGAAGCUAUUAAAAAUCCAGGAAAAGAAAAUUCAGAUUGGGUACUUUUGUGACUUCUUGGCCAUUCUUAUAAACUUUUGGCUGGGAGGGAAUUUGGAACAGUGUUAUGUGGGAGUUUCAC